AUUGAACGCUGGCGGCAGGCCUAACACAUGCAAGUCGAGCGGAUGAAGGGAGCUUGCUCCUGGAUUCAGCGGCGGACGGGUGAGUAAUGCCUAGGAAUCUGCCUGGUAGUGGGUGAUAACGUCCGGAAACGGGCGCUAAUACCGCAUACGUCCUGAGGGAGAAAGUGGGUGAUCUUCGGACCUCACGCUAUCAGAUGAGCCUAGGUCGGAUUAGCUAGUUGGUGGGGUAAAGGCCUACCAAGGCGACGAUCCGUAACUGGUCUGAGAGGAUGAUCAGUCACACUGGAACUGAGACACGGUCCAGACUCCUACGGGAGGCAGCAGUGGGGAAUAUUGGACAAUGGGCGAAAGCCUGAUCCAGCCAUGCCGCGUGUGUGAAGAAGGUCUUCGGAUUGUAAAGCACUUUAAGUUGGGAGGAAGGGCAGUAAGUUAAUACCUUGCUGUUUUGACGUUACCAACAGAAUAAGCACCGGCUAACUUCGUG
rnacentral:rRNA from 1 species